AUUGAACGCUGGCGGCAUGCUUUACACAUGCAAGUCGAACGGCAGCACGGGCUUCGGCCUGGUGGCGAGUGGCGAACGGGUGAGUAAUGCGUCGGAACGUGCCGAGUAAUGGGGGAUAACGCAUCGAAAGGUGUGCUAAUACCGCAUACGCUCUGAGGAGGAAAGCGGGGGACCUUCGGGCCUCGCGUUAUUCGAGCGGCCGACGUCUGAUUAGCUAGUUGGUGGGGUAAAGGCUCACCAAGGCGACGAUCAGUAGCGGGUCUGAGAGGAUGAUCCGCCACACUGGGACUGAGACACGGCCCAGACUCCUACGGGAGGCAGCAGUGGGGAAUUUUGGACAAUGGGCGAAAGCCUGAUCCAGCCAUGCCGCGUGAGUGAAGAAGGCCUUCGGGUUGUAAAGCUCUUUUGUCCGGGAGGAAAUCCCGUAACCUAAUACGUUACGGGGAUGACAGUACUGGAAGAAUAAGCACCGGCUAACUACGUGCCAGCAGCCGCGGUAAUACGUAGGGUGCAAGCGUUAAUCGGAAUUACUGGGCGUAAAGCGUGCGCAGGCGGUUUGAUAAGUCANAUGUGAAAUCCCCGGGCUUAACCUGGGAACUGCGUUUGAAACUGUCNNNNUAGAGUACNUCANAGGGGGGUGGAAUUCCACGUGUAGCAGUGAAAUGCNUAGAGAUGUGGAGGAACACCGAUGG
rnacentral:rRNA from 1 species